rnacentral:rRNA from 1 species
CCUACGGGAGGCAGCAGUGAGGAAUAUUGGUCAAUGGGCGCAAGCCUGAACCAGCCAAGUAGCGUGAAGGAUGACUGCCCUACGGGUUGUAAACUUCUUUUAUAUGGGAAUAAAGUGGGGCACGUGUGCCGCUUUGCAUGUACUUUAUGAAUAAAGAUCGGCUAACUUCGUGCCCGCAGCCGCGGUAAUACGGAGGAUCCGAGCGUUAUCCGGAUUUAUUGGGUUUAAAGGGAGCGUAGGCGGGUGGUUAAGUCAGUGGUGAAAGUUUGCGGCUCAACCGUAGAAUUGCAGUUGAUACUGGAAGCCUUGAGUGCACUGGAGGAAGGCGGAAUUCGUGGUGUAGCGGUGAAAUGCUUAGAUAUCACGAAGAACCCCGAUUGCGAAGGCAGCUUUCCGGACUGCAACUGACGCUGAUGCUCGAAAGUGUGGGUAUCAAACAGGAUUAGAUACCCCUGUAGUC